rnacentral:rRNA from 1 species
UACGGGGGGGGCAAGCGUUGUUCGGAAUUACUGGGCGUAAAGGGCUCGUAGGCGGCCAACUAAGUCAGACGUGAAAUCCCUCGGCUUAACCGGGAACUGCAUCUGAUACUGGAUGGCUUGAGUUCGGGAGAGGGAUGCGGAAUUCCAGGUGUAGCGGUGAAAUGCGUAGAUAUCUGGAGGAAUACCGGUGGCGAAGGCGGCAUCCUGGACCGGCAUUGACGCUGAGGAGCGAAAGCUAGGGGAGCAAACGGG